rnacentral:rRNA from 1 species
ACUCCUACGGGAGGCAGCAGUGGGGAAUAUUGGACAAUGGGCGCAAGCCUGAUCCAGCCAUGCCGCGUGAGUGAUGAAGGCCCUAGGGUUGUAAAGCUCUUUCACCGGUGAAGAUAAUGACGGUAACCGGAGAAGAAGCCACGGGUAACUUCGUGCCAGCAGCCGCGGUAAUACGAAGGGGGCUAGCGUUGUUCGGAUUUACUGGGCGUAAAGCGCACGUAGGCGGACUAUUAAGUCAGGGGUGAAAUCCCGGGGCUCAACCCCGGAACUGCCUUUGAUACUGGUAGUCUUGAGUUCGAGAGAGGUGAGUGGAAUUCCGAGUGUAGAGGUGAAAUUCGUAGAUAUUCGGAGGAACACCAGUGGCGAAGGCGGCUCACUGGCUCGAUACUGACGCUGAGGUGCGAAAGCGUGGGGAGCAAACAGGAUUAGAUACCCCGGUAGUCCCAUG